rnacentral:rRNA from 1 species
AUGGUAGGAUAGAGGCCUACCAUGGUGGUAACGGGUAACGGGGUGUUAGGGCACGACACCGGAGAGGGAGCCUGAGAAACGGCUACCACAUCCAAGGAUGGCAGCAGGCGCGCAAAUUACCCAAUCCCGACACGGGGAGGUAGUGGCAAUAAAUAACAAUACGGGGUUCUUUAGGAUCUCGUAAUUGGAGUGAGUACAGUUUAAAUCUCUUAACGAGGAACAAUUGGAGGGCAAGACUGGUGCCAGCAGCCGCGGUAAUUCCAGCUCCAAUAGCGUAUAUNAAAGUUGUUGCAGUUAAAAAGCUCGUAGUUGAAUUUCGGGGUCAGUAGGUCGGUCGUGCCACUGGUAUGAACUGGUUUUACUGAUUCCUCCCUCUUGAAGAACUGUAAUGCCAUUAAUUUGGUGUUGCAGGGAAUCAGGACUGUUACUUUGAAAAAAUUAGAGUGUUUAAAGCAGGCUUUAGCUUGAAUACAUUAGCAUGGAAUAAUGAAAUAGGACGUUUGAUCCUAUUUUGUUGGUUUCUAGGAUUGACGUAAUGAUUAAUAGGGAUAGUUGGGGGCAUUAGUAUUCAAUUGUCAGAGGUGAAAUUCUUGGAUUUAUUGAAGACUAACUACUGCGAAAGCAUUUGCCAAGGAUGUUUUCAUUAAUCAAGAACGAAAGUUAGGGGAUCGAAGACGAUCAGAUACCGUCGUAGUCUUAACCAUAAACUAUGCCGACUAGGGAUCGGAUGAUGUUAAUUUUUUAAUGACUCAUUCGGCGCCUUACGGGAAACCAAAGUGUUUGGG